GGGCGCGUAACUCAGUGGUAGAGUGCCACCUUCACACGGUGGAAGUCACAGGUUCAAGUCCUGUCGCGCCCA
rnacentral:tRNA from 1 species